GACGGAGGGGGCUAGCGUUGUUCGGAAUGACUGGGCGUAAAGGGCGCGUAGGCGGCUUAUCAAGUCAGGUGUGAAAGCCUUGGGCUUAACCCAAGAAUUGCGCUUGAUACUGAUAAGCUAGAGGAUGAUAGAGGAAAGCGGAAUUCCUAGUGUAGAGGUGAAAUUCGUAGAUAUUAGGAAGAACACCAGAGGCGAAGGCGGCCUUCUGGAUCAUAUCUGACGCUGAGGCGCGAAAGCGCGGGGAGCAAACAGG
rnacentral:rRNA from 1 species